AUGGAGAACAAAGACAGUAGGAUGACAACUGAAUGGAACUCAACAAUGGAAAACAGAACGCAAUCAGAUAGCAAACAAACAAGAACUGACAUGAAAACCCAAAAAGAAACUAUAAAAAGACAAAGGCAACUGAUAUGUCAAGUAAUGGAGGAGAUCGAACAACUCUGGAGACAGACAGAAAGAAAAAGAAAUGAAAUUGACUUCUUAAAGACAAAGACAGAGGGGCAACAGGAAAACACUGAGAGACUGACAUCUGAAAAAAACAAACAGCACCUACUAUUAAAGCAAUUUAACUUCCAAAUAAAAAAUAUAACUGAGAAACUCAAAGAAAGCAAAAAUUCAGUUGCUAACGAAAAAACAAACCUUCUGAAAAUGUGGACUAAAAUAUACCAAGAGAAGGAUACUCUGGACAGAAGACGUCAUUACUUCAUCAAUGAGCGACACAGGCUAGACAGUAUAAAAGCUAGUAAGACAGAAUCACCAAUAAGGGAGGAACCCAAAGAGCUCCUUAAGCAGGUAAAGCAGGAACUGGAUAUACUGGAGAAUGCAACUGAGAAAAACAGGGAAAUAAUGGUUGAAGUAAAGAAAGUUAAAGAAAAAAUGGAGAAAACUAAAGCAAACAUACAGCAAGCAUUAAAAAGAAAUAAAGAGGACAUUUCAAAAAACAGUGAACAAAUUAACCACAUUAAACAUAUUAUGUAUGUAAAGAUCAACAUGGUCAAGCACAGAUGGGCAAGCAUUAUAAAACAGGCUGAAAUGAAGAAAAUUCACAUGUAUAAAGAAGGACAGAGAGAAAGAAAAGAUGGAAAAGCCACAUUUGACACAGUGAAGAGAAAAAUGUGUAGAAUCCAGGAAGAGAUGGAGAAACUUUGGGAUGUGCUGGAAGACAGUGAACAACAACUGGAAGUGACUCAAAGUGCAAAGCAGCAGCUAAUGGCAGAGAACAAUCCCGUGAACAUCAAGAUGAAUAUUAAUUAUCCAAAGCAACAAGCUUCAGAUCUAAGCUUGAAAGUGACACACAUCCAGUCUGAAAGAGAUGACUUAAAGAGAGUUAAAAUGAAACUAAAGACAGGAAGGGAAAAUGUAGAAAAAGACAAGCCAAAUACUUACAUGCAGAAUUUGAUCUCUGAGGAAGAAGAAAACAAUGAGGUGCUUUGUAUCAAGAGUGAAGAAACAAAGCAGAGCACGAGGGACUUUACAGAAGUAAAGGCUCAAACCAAAUGGACAAAUUUUCGAGAAAAGCAAAAAAGAAGGGAGCUUGAGCAUCUGCUCGAGAAGAUAAUGAAAGAGAGGGAUGAGUUAGAAAUCAUGAAGAGAAAAAUACAGCGACAAAAGGAAGGGGUUGAACAAAAACUGGAAAAUACUGUCACUGAGAUGAAAGGUAAAAUAGAAAAAACUGGUGCAGAAAUUAACAACACUUGGGAGAAAAUGCGGAGAACCCAAAGGGAGAUGAGUAAGAACGAGGAAGAAGCCAAGAACUAUAUGGAAAACCUAACAACCAUGAAAGCUUGGGUCAACAAAUGGAUAUCGACACAAUCUACAAUCAAAUAUACUUUUUCGGUGAAUGCAUCCAAACUUCAAGAAUCACAGAAAGAAAUAGACACAGACUCCCUCGAGGAUCAAACAUCAGCAAUUCCAAAGGACAAAAGGGGGACAGAAAAUAUAACAGAUACAACAUCAUUACAAAAUUCUGUAACAUUAGAUGAUCAGCAUCAAAAUAAAAAAAUUAAAGAACAACAGAAGGAGCAUUUUGAAUCCAAACAUUGUUUUGCAGAAGGCAAAAAUGGGGAGCAGGACUUUUGCUUACAGAUGCGAACUGAAAUUCAUGAAGAAGCAGUGCAUGAUAAAACUGAAUUACUGAUAAUUGUAAGAGAAAGGGAAGAAGUGGAAAAACUGAUAUGUAACCUAAAGCAGCAAGAGGGGGAAAUAAAGGAGCAAAUAAAGUACACUGUUGAUAACAUGAAAGAAAAAACUCAAGACAUCAAAAGGCUCAUUUUGGAAAUGAAUGACCUGCAGAGGGCAGACACUGUAAUUACAGUCGGCGAAACUGAAAAUGCCCAGGAAGUAUUAACUAAGCUGUUGGAAGAAACUGAACAGAGAAAGAUUUUGAUGGUGAACACCAAAGUUUUCAAAAAUGAAAUAAUGAAAUAUGAAGUACAAGAGGAGGACGAUGCCAAAAAAAUAAAACAAGAGUCUAGCUUGAUAAGACUUGAUAUUAACAAGCAAAAACAAAUUCAGAAAUCAGGAGAAGAGAUGAAAAAAUAUGUUGAACACACAGAUGAAAAUAAAAAGGACAGAGGAGCCGAUGUACAAAGACUCAGGGCAGAGAUUUACAAAACACAAGAGAUUAUAAGAACGCUAAGAGGAGGACUUGAGAACCUAGCGGAAAAAAGUAACAUGGACAAAGAUCAAAAGAAUGAAGGCAGUGAAAUUGAAGGAUUGCUAAAAGACAUCAAACAGUUUCAAGAGUUUUUGGAAAUUGUAAAAGCCACAAUAAAGCAAAGUGAAGUAUAUAUGACAGAAGAAAUGAGCAAUAUGAAAUCAAUUAAAACUGCAGUGAAAAAGAAGAGAAGAGAAUUAGAUCAAAGGUUAGAAAAUACUUCAAAAGAGAGAGACAGAUUAGACAUCUUUAAAAUAAAAAUGCAGAGGCAAACUGAACUGAUUCGGCAGAAUUUAGAAAAAAUGGCAAAAGUUAAGAGCACAAUCGAGAAAAUAGCCACUCAGACCAGAAGGAAAAUUGAAGAGAUAGAAAUUAGUAUGAAGGAGACUGAAAUAAAACUAAGACAGUUUAAAGACCUUGACUACAUUAACCUUAACUUAACAAAAGGCGCAAAACCAGACAUGGAACAUGGUACUACACCUAAGCAAAGAACUGCUCUUGAAAUUUUCAAGACUGAAAUUAGAAAGACAAUGGACAAUAAAAGAGAUAAACUGACAAAAACCAAAAUGGACAAAGAAACUGAGGGAACAGAAAUCCUCAAACAAGUUAAAGAGAAACUGGAUGAUGUAAGACUUUCAUUAGACAGUCUGGGUCAUAAAAAAAAAAAAUCAGUUAGUGAGACUGUGAAACAAAUAAUUAAGAGAGAAGAGACUGAGGUGACAGAACAGAUCCAAACAGCGAUAAAGAAUGAGAAAAUAGUUAAACAACUAACUGAAACAGAAAUACAGGAUGAACAGAUGAACCAUUUGAGGGAGAAAACUGAAAGACACAAACAGGAGCUUGAUGACAGAGUACACAUGACAAAAAGGCAAAUAAGAGAAAUGGAGCUGCUACAAUCAGAAUUGAAAAUAAAGACAAAAGAACUGGAGCGUUUAUUUAGAAAAACCAUGAGAAAAAAGGAGGAAAUUGAAAUAAUGUGGAAUGAAAUACAACGAGAAAAGGAAGCAUUGAGGACCGAGAUCAAAAAGAAAAGAAGAGAAUUAGACCAAAGACUGGAGAUAACUCUGAGAAAAAGGGAUGAACUAGAAAUGUUAAGGGUAAAAUUGAAACGACAGAUGGAAGAGCUGGCUGAGGAGAAGCAGAGAGACCAUAAUCUGUUCAUCCAUCUACCCAAUGAACAUGAAAAACAUUGGGAAAGCAAAGAUGUGAAAAUGUUCAUGGAGAAACUUAAAAACCACAGCUCAAAAGUUUCUCAUUAUAUUAUUUACAUCCAAAACAUAAGAGACAGGGUUAAUUUACACAUGGGAACAAUUAGGACAGAGAUGAAAAUUCUAGAAAAUGUGAAUGCUCAUUUAGAAAAGGACAGGAAGGGAUUCAGAGAAGUUGAGGCUGAAAAUAAGAAUAUAACAAACAAAAUGAGGAGAUUAAAAUAUCAGCUUAAUUUAAUCUUUGGAAGAGUUACCAUACAAGACACUGCAGAGAUGGAUGAAACAAUCAACAUGUGGGAAAAAAUCCAAAGACAAAAACAGAGGCUUGAUAUGAGACUAGAAAGUAUUAAAAGGGAAAGACAAGAGAUCGAAGCUCUGGUGGUUGAGCUGGAGAUGAAGAAAAGAGAAAACCAACGUGUAAUCAAAAGAAGCAUUCAAAAAGAACAGAAGAUAAAAAGAAUAUGGGUUACUUUCAAAGAAGAAAGAACUGCCCUCGUGAGAGAAACAAAGCAGAAAAAGGAGCUUGAACAACGACGAGCGGAGAUCAUCAAACAUCAAGGUAAACAAGAAAAAAAGCAGAAGUUGCAAAAAGGAAAGAAAGGGAUGAAAAGUGAAAUUGAAGACAUGAGGAUGACAGAAAAAAGGAAGCAAAUUAAAAAGCAUUGGGAACUAAUCAACAAAUACUUAGGGGAAUAUAACAAGGUAAUUAAAAACACUCAAAUCAUCAUUGGAAUAAUUCAGAAUGAAAAUAAGCACAUGCAAGACCAAAAGAAUUUCUACAUGACCAGAAGAAAAGAAGUACUGAAUAUGAAAAGCGAGUUAGAUAGGCAAAAGGAAAUUAUACGGUGCGCAUUAAAAAACAUAAAACAAGAGCGAAAACAUGGGGAACAAGUGGAGACAAAAAUCAAGACAGAGCAAGAAAAAAAUGAAAACGGAUGGAAAAAACAAUUUCAGAUAGAAAAAGAUGCCAUUGAUGACUUGAGUGCAGACAAGAGUCAAGACAAAGAAGAUGUUAAAAGAAUGACUGAGAUGUUGAAGAAGAACCAGAAACUUGAAAUGAGAGGCUGUAAAGUCAAAAAAGAAAUUGACAUAUUAAAACAAAAAAAGGAAGACAUAAAAGAGGAAAAGAAAACCAGUGAAAUAAAAGAAACGGGAAAAAAAAUAACGCUUAAGGAUGGUAUGAAAAGGGUUGUAUUACAAGACACAAAACAAGACUUCAUAAAAAAAGAGAUCAAAAAACGAAACCAGGGAAAACAAAAAGUCAACCAGAUGAGAACUAGACGUGACAAUAGAAAAGAACUGUUGUUGAAGGAAAGGAGAAAUAUCAUAGAUGAGCAGAAAGAGAUGGAAAUGAGAGGACACCAAGUCAUGACAGAAAUGAAAUCAAUAGAGAUUCUGAAAGUGAAACUUCAACAACUGAAAGAGGAUAUAAAAGCUAAAACGGACAGAUUACUACAAAAUGUUGACAACAGGUCCAUGCUGCAAACAGUGUUGGAAGAAAAACUUACAACUCAAGACAAACAGAAAGAAAACAUUUGCUAUUUCACUGAAAUGUUAGAGAGGGAAAGGGAAGGUGUGAGAACUAUCCUUUCAGAAAUGAUCACCAAGAGAGAAUGCACAGAAAAAGAAUGGAAGCAGCAGUUUGAACUGGACAAACGAGAUCUUGAUAAACUGAAAGAAGAUCUGAGACAAGACAGAGAAGAUCUGGAGAGAGAAAGUGAGGUGCUGAAUAAAGAGAAAAUGGAUUUGAAGCUGUUGAUGUCUGACAUGAAGAAACAAUUUGAAAUAUUGGAAGAAAAGAGACAAAAUGUAAAAGAAGAGAGAGACUCAAUGGAAAUCAUGAAGCUUGAACUGCUCAAUAAGAUGGAACAUGUAAAAAGGCUGUUAAAUGAGGCAAAUAAAGAAAAAGCCAAUAUUAAAGUUUGUAUCCUUCAGGUUCAAACGGAAAAAGAAAGACUUGAAGACAUUUUAAGCAAGAUUUUCUUAACACAUAGUGAACAAAAAGUCAAGGAAGAUGACCUCAGAAGACAAACAAAAGAACUGGAAAUGAAGAAGAAGCAAUUACAGAGUGAAAGAGAAAAAGUGGAGAGUCUGAUGAGGAAUCUCAACAAGAAGCAAGAAGAGCUUGAACGUGCAAAGGAAAUCAUGAGUGAAGAAAAAGAAGAGGUGAAACAGAUGAAGACUGACAUUGCCAAAGAACGAGAACUGUUGUUGAAGGAAAGGAGAAAUAUGGAAGAAGAGCGGUCUGAGAUGGAAAUGAGAGGAGACCAAGUCAUGGAUGAAAUGAAAUCAAUAGAGAUUCUGAAAGUGAAACUUCAACAACUGAAAGAGGAUAUAAAAGCUAAAACGGACAGAUUACUACAAAAUGUUGACAACAGGUCCAUGCUGCAAACAGUGUUGGAAGAAAAACUUACAACUCAAGACAAACAGAAAGAAAACAUUUGCUAUUUCACUGAAAUGUUAGAGACGGAAAGGGAAGGUGUGAGAACUAUCCUUUCAGACAUGAUCACCAAGAGAGAAUGCACAGAAAAAGAAUGGAAGCAGCAGUUUGAACUGGACAAACGAGAUCUUGAUAAACUGAAAGAAGAUCUGAGACAAGACAGAGAAGAUCUGGAGAGAGAAAGUGAGGUGCUGAAUAAAGAGAAAAUGGAUUUGGAGCUGUUGAUGUCUGACAUGAAGAAACAAUUUGAAAUAUUGGAAGAAAAGAGACAAAAUGUAAAAGAAGAGAGAGACUCAAUGGAAAUCAUGAAGCUUGAACUGCUCAAUAAGAUGGAACAUGUAAAAAGGCUGUUAAAUGAGGCAAAUAAAGAAAAAGCCAAUAUUAAAGUUUGUAUCCUUCAGGUUCAAACGGAAAAAGAAAGACUUGAAGACAUUUUAAGCAAGAUUUUCUUAACACAUAGUGAACAAAAAGUCAAGGAAGAUGACCUCAGAAGACAAACAAAAGAACUGGAAAUGAAGAAGAAGCAAUUACAGAGUGAAAGAGAAAAAGUGGAGAGUCUGAUGAGGAAUCUCAACAAGAAGCAAGAAGAGCUUGAACGUGCAAAGGAAAUCAUGAGUGAAGAAAAAGAAGAGGUGAAACAGAUGAAGACUGACAUUGCCAAAGAACGAGAACUGUUGUUGAAGGAAAGGAGAAAUAUGGAAGAAGAGCGGUCUGAGAUGGAAAUGAGAGGAGACCAAGUCAUGGAUGAAAUGAAAUCAAUAGAGAUUCUGAAAGUGAAACUUCAACAACUGAAAGAGGAUAUAAAAGCUAAAAUGGACAGAUUACUACAAAAUGUUGACAACAGGUCCAUGCUGCAAACAGUGUUGGAAGAAAAACUUACAACUCAAGACAAACAGAAAGAAAACAUUUGCUAUUUCACUGAAAUGUUAGAGACGGAAAGGGAAGGUGUGAGAACUAUCCUUUCAGACAUGAUCACCAAGAGAGAAUGCACAGAAAAAGAAUGGAAGCAGCAGUUUGAACUGGACAAACGAGAUCUUGAUAAACUGAAAGAAGAUCUGAGACAAGACAGAGAAGAUCUGGAGAGAGAAAGUGAGGUGCUGAAUAAAGAGAAAAUGGAUUUGAAGCUGUUGAUGUCUGACAUGAAGAAACAAUUUGAAAUAUUGGAAGAAAAGAGACAAAAUGUAAAAGAAGAGAGAGACUCAAUGGAAAUCAUGAAGCUUGAACUGCUCAAUAAGAUGGAACAUGUAAAAAGGCUGUUAAAUGAGGCAAAUAAAGAAAAAGCCAAUAUUAAAGAUUGUAUCCUUCAGGUUCAAACGGAAAAAGAAAGACUUGAAGACAUUUUAAGCAAGAUUUUCUUAACACAUAGUGAACAAAAAGUCAAGGAAGAUGACCUCAGAAGACAAACAAAAGAACUGGAAAUGAAGAAGAAGCAAUUACAGAGUGAAAGAGAAAAAGUGGAGAGUCUGAUGAGGAAUCUCAACAAGAAGCAAGAAGAGCUUGAACGUGCAAAGGAAAUCAUGAGUGAAGAAAAAGAAGAGGUGAAACAGAUGAAGACUGACAUUGCCAAAGAACGAGAACUGUUGUUGAAGGAAAGGAGAAAUAUGGAAGAAGAGCGGUCUGAGAUGGAAAUGAGAGGAGACCAAGUCAUGGAUGAAAUGAAAUCAAUAGAGAUUCUGAAAGUGAAACUUCAACAACUGAAAGAGGAUAUAAAAGCUAAAACGGACAGAUUACUACAAAAUGUUGACAACAGGUUCAUGCUGCAAACAGUGUUGGAAGAAAAACUUACAACUCAAGACAAACAGAAAGAAAACAUUUGCUAUUUCACUGAAAUGUUAGAGAGGGAAAGGGAAGGUGUGAGAACUAUCCUUUCAGACAUGAUCACCAAGAGAGAAUGCACAGAAAAAGAAUGGAAGCAGCAGUUUGAACUGGACAAACGAGAUCUUGAUAAACUGAAAGAAGAUCUGAGACAAGACAGAGAAGAUCUGGAGAGAGAAAGUGAGGUGCUGAAUAAAGAGAAAAUGGAUUUGAAGCUGUUGAUGUCUGACAUGAAGAAACAAUUUGAAAUAUUGGAAGAAAAGAGACAAAAUGUAAAAGAAGAGAGAGACUCAAUGGAAAUCAUGAAGCUUGAACUGCUCAAUAAGAUGGAACAUGUAAAAAGGCUGUUAAAUGAGGCAAAUAAAGAAAAAGCCAAUAUUAAAGUUUGUAUCCUUCAGGUUCAAACGGAAAAAGAAAGACUUGAAGACAUUUUAAGCAAGAUUUUCUUAACACAUAGUGAACAAAAAGUCAAGGAAGAUGACCUCAGAAGACAAACAAAAGAACUGGAAAUGAAGAAGAAGCAAUUACAGAGUGAAAGAGAAAAAGUGGAGAGUCUGAUGAGGAAUCUCAACAAGAAGCAAGAAGAGCUUGAACGUGCAAAGGAAAUCAUGAGUGAAGAAAAAGAAGAGGUGAAACAGAUGAAGACUGACAUUGCCAAAGAACGAGAACUGUUGUUGAAGGAAAGGAGAAAUAUGGAAGAAGAGCGGUCUGAGAUGGAAAUGAGAGGAGACCAAGUCAUGGAUGAAAUGAAAUCAAUAGAGAUUCUGAAAGUGAAACUUCAACAACUGAAAGAGGAUAUAAAAGCUAAAACGGACAGAUUACUACAAAAUGUUGACAACAGGUCCAUGCUGCAAACAGUGUUGGAAGAAAAACUUACAACUCAAGACAAACAGAAAGAAAACAUUUGCUAUUUCACUGAAAUGUUAGAGACGGAAAGGGAAGGUGUGAGAACUAUCCUUUCAGACAUGAUCACCAAGAGAGAAUGCACAGAAAAAGAAUGGAAGCAGCAGUUUGAACUGGACAAACGAGAUCUUGAUAAACUGAAAGAAGAUCUGAGACAAGACAGAGAAGAUCUGGAGAGAGAAAGUGAGGUGCUGAAUAAAGAGAAAAUGGAUUUGGAGCUGUUGAUGUCUGACAUGAAGAAACAAUUUGAAAUAUUGGAAGAAAAGAGACAAAAUGUAAAAGAAGAUCUGAGUCAAGACAGAGAAGAUCUGGAGAGAGAAAGGGAAGGUGUGAGAACUAUCCUUUCAGACAUGAUCACCAAGAGAGAAUGCACAGAAAAAGAAUGGAAGCAGCAGUUUGAACUGGACAAACGAGAUCUUGAUAAACGGAAAGAAGAUCUGAGACAAGACAGAGAAGAUCUGGAGAGAGAAAGUGAGGUGCUGAAUAAAGAGAAAAUGGAUUUGAAGCUGUUGAUGUCUGACAUGAAGAAACAAUUUGAAAUAUUGGAAGAAAAGAGACAAAAUGUAAAAGAAGAGAGAGACUCAAUGGAAAUCAUGAAGCUUGAACUGCUCAAUAAGAUGGAACAUGUAAAAAGGCUGUUAAAUGAGGCAAAUAAAGAAAAAGCCAAUAUUAAAGUUUGUAUCCUUCAGGUUCAAACGGAAAAAGAAAGACUUGAAGACAUUUUAAGCAAGAUUUUCUUAACACAUAGUGAACAAAAAGUCAAGGAAGAUGACCUCAGAAGACAAACAAAAGAACUGGAAAUGAAGAAGAAGCAAUUACAGAGUGAAAGAGAAAAAGUGGAGAGUCUGAUGAGGAAUCUCAACAAGAAGCAAGAAGAGCUUGAACGUGCAAAGGAAAUCAUGAGUGAAGAAAAAGAAGAGGUGAAACAGAUGAAGACUGACAUUGCCAAAGAACGAGAACUGUUGUUGAAGGAAAGGAGAAAUAUGGAAGAAGAGCGGUCUGAGAUGGAAAUGAGAGGAGACCAAGUCAUGGAUGAAAUGAAAUCACUAGAGAUUCUGAAAGUGAAACUUCAACAACUGAAGCAGCAUAUAAAAGCUAAAACGGACAGAUUACUACAAAAUGUUGACAACAGGCCAUGCUGCAAACAGUGUUGGAAGAAAAACUUACAACUCAAGACAAACAGAAAGAAAACAUUUGCUAUUUCACUGAAAUGUUAG
ensembl:lncRNA